rnacentral:rRNA from 1 species
GUAGGUGGCAAGCGUUGUCCGGAAUUAUUGGGCGUAAAGCGCGCGCAGGCGGUUCUUUAAGUCUGAUGUGAAAGCCCACGGCUCAACCGUGGAGGGUCAUUGGAAACUGGAGAACUUGAGUACAGAAGAGGAAAGCGGAAUUCCACGUGUAGCGGUGAAAUGCGUAGAGAUGUGGAGGAACACCAGUGGCGAAGGCGGCUUUCUGGUCUGUAACUGACGCUGAGGCGCGAAAGCGUGGGGAGCAAACAGGAUUAGAUACCCUGGUAGUCCACGCCGUAAACGGUGAGUGCUAAGUGUUAGGGGGUUUCCGCCCCCUUAGUGCUGCAGCUAACGCAUUAAGCACUCCGCCUGGGGAUACGGCCGCAAGGCUG